CGUCAAACCCCUGCGUUGAAUUGAUCUACUCUCUUCUAAGAAGACGUAAAUUUACGUCUUCUUCGUAAAUUUACGAAGAAGACGCAUGGAGUGGCAACAAUUCGGCAGAUUUGCCGAAGUGGAAAAUGACUAAAAAUCGCUUCAGACCGAAGACAUUCAUAGCUUUUAGCAACAAGAUCAAGCUGGGAAUCAAUACCGAGGACCGUAUUGAUUUAUUACCAAGUGAUCAUGCAUGCCUGACUUUGUUAUUGCACAAACUUACACAGAACAAGCAUGUGGCCUGCGUUAUGAAAUAGUUUUAAAGAGACAGCUCAGACUUUUUGAUGUGAGGUUCAAGUAAAACGUCAUAAGCAGUCAUGUUCAGUAAAGUGAAUCACUAAAUAGCACCUUACUAGUCAUAGUGACUCCUUGCACCAGAGCCACAUUCAUACACUGACACGCAGGUCAGUGUUAAGUGUCUUGCCCCUGAACACAACAACAUGUGGCAGAACAUAUGGAAUCAAACCCACAACCUUAGGACUGCAAGACAGCUACACUUCCCACUGCUGCACAGUUGGGUUAACUCCAUAUUAGUUGGUUCAGGAGGCUAAAGCUAACAAAUAGCCUCUGGAGCCAACUAAUUUGGAUUUUUACUAAAUAAAAACAUAGAAAGAUUUAUCUACUGCCAGUAAUUUAUUAAAUCAGUAUAGUUAGGCAUAUAAGGUGGGAUGAGAUUCUUACAGUAUUCAAACAAAAAUGAAAAACAAACGUGUAUAAUGGGACCUCACUGCUUUUAUUCAGAACAAAGUAAAUAUUUUUUUGUGCUGCCGCUAAAAUGAGGGUUAUAAUUAGAGGGAAACAUAUAGCAAAAAAAAAAAAAAAAGGAAUAUAUAUAUAUUAGGAAUACAUUUGAAACAGCAACUUUUUACAACCUUGGUAACCUUUGGUACAGGUAACAAUGCUAUCGCUACUGUUAACCUUUUAACAGAAAGUCACCUAAAAAGUUCUGAAUUAAAUGUCUGGUCACAUUUUAUUUAAACUUUCUGAUGUUUUUGUGAGUUUGUAUAAAUUGGUCACCUCCGAUCCACUGUAGCUGCUUGUGUAUAAAUACAUAGCAGUACUAACUGUCUAAUUUAGCAAGAAAAAUUGGUUAAUGUGGAAAAAUAAACAGUUGUACAAUUUAGACUAGAUAAGUGUAUCUAGCUACAUUUUAGAUAACUUUUUUUUGUUUUAGCUUAUAUCUGUUCGAGAGUUUAAUGUUAAAGCUGUAAUUUCCUUUUAAUUACAGUCUAAUUCAACCUGUAACAGAAAAGCAACAGCGUGUGUAUCUACUUUCGUUCAAAUAGCAUGUACUGAAUGUGCAGCUCGCGCUCUCCGUAGCCAAUGAAAACACGAGAAGCCUACGUCAGCGAUGCAACAAACAGGUGCUGUGGAAACGUGGGAGUCCGUCUGCCAUUCACAACUUCCUCUAGACACUAGCAGCUUCUGUCCACUUGAAUGUACGGCUUUUUAUAAUGUCGAAGCUUCGCGAAUUAUAAUAAAGUGUUUCAAAACACCCAAGUCAAAGUGACACAGAGACAACACUGAAGCGAAGCACCGGAGCUAGCCGCUUUCUGUCCAGCGGUUGAGCUCCGCUGAGCCGUUCACGGUCGCACUGAAAGCAGCCGCGGAAUGCUAAGCUAAUGCAUUUGGGAGCGUCAACGACUCCACUCGUAAAGGCAUUUUCGUCGCCCUUGAAUGCUGCCGUCACUGUUACAUCGCAACGCUAGACAAAACCAAUUCAGCGUCACGUUUACAUGGCCUAGCAAACACAAGCACCGACCUCAAGUUACCAGCUCGAUGCUCUCCACACGCCCGCCAUUUAGCGUGGCGAAGAAGUUCGGGAAAUUACACACUAUUUCUAUCAGGAAAUGUGUCUUCUUGCCUGCGGUACCGAGCCGCCAGCUAGCUGCUAGCUAAUGUAAACAACAUGGGUAGCCCGAACAGAAGACCGUCCUGGGCUCGAAGGGAAACGCAUGCAGAUAACCGUUAGCGAUCAGUCUGGUUUACACGCAGCCUUUAUUUUGACAUUCCAGUCGCAACCCUACAAUUUCCCUUUUGGAUCCAUCAGGUGAUCUUUCCGUCCAUCUACAUUACGGACUACUUCCUGGACUCAAAUGACACGUGACUUUGUAAAGAACUGGGGUCUAUUCCUUCUGCACGAUCAGGCUCCGCCCAUUUCACAUUCUAGAGCCAAUCGCUGCGUGGUAAACGUCACAUCAAGUACCCUCCUACAAAAGGUGGAACUUCCAAAAUAAACCAUCGCCCACGACAGGCGGAGCUCCAGUUGUACUAGCCCGGGAUUCCUUCUACCCGUCCAGGGUGGGGGAGUCAGAAGCAGCCGUCCGUUGGCUGCACCAGACGCUCACCAACUCUCAUCCACACCGAAAACAGCACAAAACACCUGGGGCAAACUCUUCAGGUGCAAAGAAUAAACGAGUAUAUGUCGACUGCUGUGCAUUGUUUGUCUUUACAAGUUUGUGCAGAAAGGCAUGUAACAAAAACGCACUGCGGGCUGCGGAAACACCCCCCCACCAACACGGAGCAAGCGGCAGCCCCGCGCCGUGUGCGUCGGCCGACUUUUCUGCACACUCCAAACAAAAGGAUCCACGACGCUAAAGCCGCCCGUUCUGCCUCUAGAAUCCGUCCCCCCGCCCCCCUUCCACAUCCACCUUUCCACAGUGGACGCAGAGAACAGGGGCGGGGGGGCGGCUCGGCGGCGAGCACCGAAUGUUUAAUGGGCGACAUGAGCCGAUCAAUUUGCCCUUACUGAACAAUGCCAAAGUCAAACGGAACGGGAACUGCUGCGCCGUCGCCGCCGCCGCACGGACACAACGGCGCGCGACGAAGACCCGCCAUUCCCCCCGUCGCGCGACAUGAGCAAACCCCGUUCCUCUGUCCCGCAGGGGGAGGACCGACGCGUUAUAUUCUUUGUUUACCGCGAUUCGCCGGGGUUAAAAUGUCUAAGCUGCCUCACCACAACAACUCCCUCCCUUCUCCUCCUCCGUCUCCCCCACCCCUCCCCACCUACACCGAUCCAUUCGGAAGCGAUCCGUCCGCUCACAAACGCUGCAGACAGGGGGACGCCUCGGACGGUCACCGUACACCCCGCCACCCCAAUCCCACCUCUGGAGAUUGUUUACCAGCCGACAUAAUGCUGCAGAUUUACCCCCGCUCUCUAUCACGUUAUGUUUUCCGAGCCUUCUAGAACAGAUAAAAGCCGCGCGAUACAAUUCAUUUACGAGCAACAAAAGAGGCGCCUCGCGACAAAUAACAGCUUUCGGAUUCUCGUUCGUCGUCGCUCAGCGGUUCGAGCAUUGCUAGUUUUAAUAGCGUUAAGUUUA